AAGUCGUAACAAGGUUUCCGUAGGUGAACCUGCGGAAGGAUCAUUACCGAGAUUUUUUCCUGCUUGCAGGAAAUCUCCCACCCUUUUGUGUAACGAAAUUUUGAUAAUACUUUGGUGAAGCGCUUGUUUAGCAUACGUGCUGAGCAACCAGUGACUUUUAAUAGUGGCUGUGUCUUUGCCAAAGGACUCCAAAUAACUCUUUAUUUAAAUAUUUUAUUGUCCGAGUUUAUAAUUUUUUUUUAAAAUAAACAAAACUUUCAACAACGGAUCUCUUGGUUCUG
rnacentral:misc_RNA from 1 species